UACGGAGGGUGCGAGCGUUGUCCGGAAUCAUUGGGCGUAAAGAGCGUGUAGGCGGCCCGAUAAGUCCGCUGUGAAAGUCCAGGGCUCAACCCUGGAAUGCCGGUGGAUACUGUCGGGCUCGAAUCCGGAAGAGGUGAGUGGAAUUCCUGGUGUAGCGGUGAAAUGCGCAGAUAUCAGGAGGAACACCAAUGGCGAAGGCAGCUCACUGGGACGGUAUUGGCGCUGAGACGCGAAAGCGUGGGGAGCAAACAGG
rnacentral:rRNA from 1 species